CAGGUGUUUGUGAUCACUGUAGCUAAUGAGGGGAGUAUGCAGCAUGGAUAGCUCUGCUGACUGUAAACAAACUACCUGUGCUGCAGGCCUGAGGGGUUGCCCCUGGUAACGAGGGGGGAGAAGUGGCACUGAGAGGCUGAGCUGUGAGGAGAUUCUUCGGUGCAGUGAUGGAAGCGGGAAGUGCUCGUAUGACCGGUGGGAGGGCAAGAGUUGCUGUGUCAGGCAGCGCGCUAUGGACUAUUUCAAAUAUAUUUAUAUCUAUGGAUUUUAUUUGCACUGCUGAGUGCACAUCCAUACACUACCUCAAUAUCGGUGUUGCACAUAAGAAAUUUCAACCCGCUCCAGGAUGGAAAAUCUUAGGAGGGAACUCUGGCAACUGCUGGGUUCCGACCGAAACCACCAGCAGUGAAGAAGGAACUGAAGUGAUGGUUGGCUGCGCAUGUGGAGUAGCUGUUUCAAACGCUGCGCGUCGGCAGCUUUGCAUGUGCAGCUGACCAUGGGCACUGCUACCUAAAAUCUCUGAUUGGAAGCACAGUAGCGCUGACACGUAAGGUGGAGCACUCAAAGGGACACUUCUCAAAGAACAACCCUGUGUUAGGAUUGGUUUGGCAAAACUCAAGAGGAUUUGGAUCCAUUGCCUCAAGAGAGGUCUGAGUUGUGAUGUCAGGAUCUGGAUGUUGCCUUUUUUCCAAAUUCACCUUGAAUUCGAAAGGCUGUUGGGACUCUAGCAAAAACUUAGUUCAUUAUUGCAGUUAAUAAACAGCUCUGCCUGGCUUAUUUCAGUGGAUUGUUUUAGAAAGAAAGCAGCUAAGCUGAAGUCUACUUGAAAAGAGACAUAAUCCAACUGUCUGCCCUAUGGCCAAUGACUUCCAUUUUUAACAUGGGACAAAGAUGCAAAUGUUAAAUUCAUAUCCUUUUAAUCCAACAGGCUCCGAGCAGAAAUUCACCCAAUGCAAGAGGAAAAAUGAGGGCAUGUCUGCUCUAAGCUUGUGUUGGGAACAGUGAAGUAGUGGAAAUUCCUUAGAGGCAAGAGAAUUGACCAUACUGGGAGGGGGGGGGGGAAAUCGCACAUUCCCUCUGCAAAGCAACCACCACCAUAUGGGCAAAAAUACACAGACACACAUGCUGAAAUGAAGACAACUGUACUAUUUUCAACUUGAUUUCUAUAAAUGGAAAAAAUGUAUAAAAUCCAUACAUACAUUAACAAUUACAGGAAGUUACAAGAUUCAAUUCACACCUAAAUAAUAGCAAUCAGUCCAUUUAAAAACAUGGGAAAUUCCACCAUUGUAAUUUUGCAGAAGUUAAUAUAGGGCAAGUACCAAAAGAUUUUUUUUUCAAUGUAAUUAAAAAAUAUUGGCUGUCUUCCGUACUUCUAAAAUAACGGGACAAUUUCAGAUAGACACACACUGGGCCGUUAAUUUUAAUAAUGUUUUUGGCUCUUGCAUCUAUUCAGAAUAUUCAAGAUGCAUACACUUUCAUCUCCAAGAGUGGGCAAAGGACAAUAGAUACUACUCUAAAAAAAAUAAUAAUAAUCCCCUUCCAAAAUCUCUAAGUUGACAUAUUUGAGUUUUAUUGUUUUAUGAUUUUCAGCAACACUCAAAUUUGUGUCCCCUCAGGUCAUGCAAUUUACAAAUUUACAAUUUACAAAUUGCAAGGACUAAAGGGAUGUUUAGGGGCCUAUGGAGAACAUGUUGGUGGACCAAUCCCGUUCCCAGGUGUCUGGCUGAUGUCCACAUUGCAUACAAACUAUCCAGCAGAAAAUUUCCCUUCAUACUCCCAUUUGUUGGCAGUCUCAGACAGGUCAAAGAUUGAAAGAGCAUGGAAACUGAACUACUCUUUCAUGCUUAGGGUUUAGAAAUACUGGCAAGAACUGGUGAGGAAAGCUUGCCCCACUACUGCCUAUACAGUAUCUGAAACUAGAUGGAGGACUUCAGUAACUGCCCAUCUAAGCCUGGUAAAAGAUACCUGGUUUAGGGUUUUUUUUAAGUGUUGGGAAUGUAAGCACCUCAACAUUCCAAAGGACAUGCUAGUGUUUUACAGGUGUACAUCACAUACACAGGCAGCACAAGGCAUCAAGCUGUGUGCAUCCAUCUAAGAUGGCAAAGCAGUUCUCAGAGCAAGUAGCACGAGUGACCCUUUCCAAAUAAAUUGUAUCAAAUUGCAGACUCUAAACUAGGUGGUUUGUAUUUAAAAAAAAAAAAAAAGCAGGA